rnacentral:lncRNA from 1 species
CCUGAUUAAAUCUUCGCAGGGAGGCGUCUCGAGAACUUUCGCUUAAAAAGGUGAUUUUAAUUCUAUUCUGUAAUUGUUUUUUAGGCUCUUUGCUGGCUGUGCAGGAGCUGUAGGUAUAGGAAUGGACUGUGGUGAGGAGCUUUGUGGUUGGGUGUUAAUGGAGCCAUGAAUUGAUUUUAUUUUCUGCUCUUUAUUCCCUUCUCUCAGCGCUCCCCCAAACUUAUACAUUUUUUUUUCCCUCGUAAGGGAUAAUUCAUUCCAUGAUUGCUAAUAGAUCACAGUAAACUCGGUGUAAUGGAGCAGUAAUUACCUAAAAAGUGAUGGAUUUGGGGGGAUUUUGGAGGCUAAGCUAUCCAAGAGCUACUGUACAAAGUAGGAGCAACUAUUUUGAUGCUGAUCAAUGAAAUGCGAAUUUUCUGCUGAUUCCUCUUAGAACCAGCAGCCAGUUUAACCUUUCAGAGGCACUCGAAGCUCCCCAGGUCUCCCUUACAGUGUAUUCUGUGUAUUUUAUUAACACCUCUGGAAAGAGACCCAGCUGUGAGAGUAACUCAGCAAACACUGGGUUGAUAUUCCAGAGGAUCUGCAAACCCAGCAUUCCCAGGACAUCCUGUAACCCGUUAUUUACCGGGCAGGCUCCUCUUUCCCAGGGAGAUCUCAGCAAGACAAGGGUCAGGUCUUGUCCUGGUACAUUUGGGCAUCUCUUGGGUUGUAAAGCAGCACAAAAGGGCCUUUUUGGGGAGCAGCUUGUGAAGUUAAGGUGUGGUGAAAUGGGAUUCCUGUGUUCCUGCUCUGUGCAGCAUCUUCAUGCACCCCAGAGCAGAGGAAAGCAGGGCUGUGGUCCCCCAAAUUCCUGGAUGCAAAAUUGCAGAAUUCAAUCAACAGCUUGGAUUGUCCCCAGAUGGAGGACAAGGAUGUGUCACUCCACAGUGGCCCUGAGCAGCUGAGCCAGGGCACUGGGGACAUUCCAGAAUCACAGGAUACACUGACUUGGAUGGGACCCACCAGGAUGGAGUGCCACUCCCAGCCCUGCACAGGACACCCCAGGAACAUUGUCCAGAUCUCUGGAAUUCUGUCAGGCUUGGGGCUGUGACCACUUCCCUGGGAUUAAAUCCUUCUGUCAGUAUGUGAACACUUAGCUUCUGUCCUCUGGAGCAGAGGGGGGCAUCCCACCCUAUCCCCAGCCUGUGUGUGGAGGAAGGAGUCCAAAAUCAGGCAGUUUCCCAUCCCAGAUGGGAAUGUGUCCCGGCCAUCUGGAAGCAGGUGGCUGUGAGCAGGGAGCAUAUGAAGCUCACUAAAGCUUGGUGUGAAAUAUCUCGAUUUCAGCUUUUUUUAUUUUCUCCCUGGGGAGAGAAAAUCUCCACACAACCAGUGUUGUACUGGGAGAGACCCAGGAGCUGGUGACACAGUCCUGUAG